rnacentral:rRNA from 1 species
UACGUAGGGUGCAAGCGUUGUCCGGAAUUAUUGGGCGUAAAGAGCUCGUAGGCGGUUUGUCGCGUCGAAUGUGAAAACCCGGGGCUCAACCCCGGGCCUGCAUUCGAUACGGGCAGACUAGAGUUCGGUAGGGGAGUCUGGAAUUCCUGGAGUAGCGGUGAAAUGCGCAGAUAUCAGGAGGAACACCGGUGGCGAAGGCGGCUACCUGGAGCUUUGCUGACGCUGAUGCGCGAAAGCGUGGGGAGCGAUCCGG